ACCAAGCCAUCAUCAGAAGUUGGACCUCCUUUUGCUUUUGGGGAGAAUAAAAAGGAGCAGAUCUCUCCCUCAGACAUCAUAUCCUUCUUCAGCAAUCCUUUGAUUCUCUUGUUGAGCUGCACUACUAAAGGUAAUUUAUUAGAAAUCAACUCUGAUUCAACCUUUAGCUUCAGUAUUUGUCAACGCAAAAGGGAAAAUAAACUAGAGGAAACUACUUCAGAAAGUGAUGAAAGAUUUUUCAAAAUGUCAAAUAUUUUUCGUCAACAGAAUCCUUCAAGAUGAAAACCUUCAUUCUGAUCGCCUGCAUCCUGGGGAUUGCUCUCGGCCGCCCUCAAAGGCUGGUCAUGGAGUUUGACUUCCAGGCUGCCAACGCUCAGGUAAGAAACACUGCUAGUCUACACCUGUUGUUUACGAUGCAUUUGAUUUGAUACAUAGUUACGGUGUCCAUAUUAGGACAUACAUAACUCGAGGGUGUUCUUCCACGGACAUGUGAUGCUGUUCCAAUAUGGGCACCAUAACUGAUGUAAUGUGAUGAAAAAAUAAGAAUAAUAGUUACAAUAUGAAUAGUUUUAAAAUCAUAAAAUGAGGAACAAAGUGCCUGAAAAGGGAAUAGAACACUGAAGAACUGACUUUUCUAUAAUACAAAUGUUUGUUUUCCAAUUAUUUGUAGGCUCUCCAAGCUGGACAAGCCAGACCUGAUCUAGAGAUUGUGGGUGUUUGACAAAUUAAUCACAAUACAUUUCCCAUUCUAGAUUGAAGUCAACCUUCUACGUUUACUAUAGUAACCAGAGUGUUCCAAUGUUACAGAUCCUUCCUGUUGGUGGUGGAGUACCUGUAAGUAACCAUAGCGACAUAGUGAAAUACACUGUGCUGUCGUGUUAGUGAUGCUACACCAGUGCAUCUCACACUAAUAGAGUGAAUGUUCAAUCCAGUCAAUAUCACAGGUGUUAACUUAUCAGAAUUCAGAAAGUCAUGAUGAAAGUGUGUGUGUGAAUGUGUGUGUGUGUGUGUGUGUGUGUGUGUGUGUGUGUGUGUGUGUGUGUGUGUGUGUGUGUGUGUGUGUGUGUGUGUCAAAACAUAGUCAGGUGGUUUCAUCAAACAGGAGAUCCCCCAGCCACUCGGCCAGGAGAGCGUUGAGAUUUACCACCCCUUCAGCAUCCAGGUUGCCCCACCUCCGCCUGCUCCUGCCCAUACUCAUACAUCCGAUGAGGAAGACGAUUAGAGAUAUUACCAAUACUUGGAGAUCUACAAUACCCUUUGAUGAACAACGAUGUCCUUCAACUCCACAGCUGCUUUUAGUGUCCUAGAUUGAUUCAGUAAAUGCAAUGCUUAACCCAGCAAUAAACACAGCGUAACAUGGUGCUUAACCGAUGGCUUGAUGCAUGAAAGCUGUGUGUAAUUGUUUGUACUUGGCUGAAGAAUGUUAAUUUUUUUUUAAAGAACGUUUUGCCAAACUUCUCCAUACCAUGCCUCAAUUUUUCUUUCUUGUCUCUGCUUGUUAGUCUGUGGCAUUGAUGACAUUCUGAAUUCAAAAUAUUUAAGUUCUUCUCAAUCGCGUACGCAUUUUUGUAACAAUGUCAUUUUUCUAGACAGUACACAAGACACACAACUCUGUGUAGUAAAUUUUCCAAAUGUUGUUACCUUCUCAAAACAGCACACUAUAAAAAAACUAUAUGAUACUAUAAAAACUUUAAGGCCACCCUCAAAAAUGCAAAUACAUCUGUAAAAA
ensembl:lncRNA